GAAGCAUAUUUUGUAACUGAGCAAAUAAAGUGUUAUGAUUUUAAAAUGGUAUUCUUUUGAAGGUAAAUCUAGAAUGUAGAAGGUUUAAGUGUAAGAAAGAGAGGUGAAUAAAAGUUUUACAACUGAUGGGUGGGAGGGGAUAAGGUAGCUGGCCAAAAAAAAUGUUUAUUGUUAUUAUAUCAGUAACAAUCGCUACAGCUUCUGCAUAGUGGGUGUGUUACACCGUAUGGGUUCUUAAUGGUAUUGGUGCCCUAAAAUUGUGUAUAUAAAGUUUGAUAUGAGGUGUGUUGGCUGUUUAAUACCCCUGGUAGUUGCUCCUUUUCUUCCACCCUACAGCUGAAAGCAUCUUAAUGACACUACCUUUUCUUCAUGGAGAUUUUGAAUAAUUUGUAUUAAAAUGAUUUACAAAUAAAUAGAGCUAAUAGUUCAUGUUUGAGGUGUGGCUUUUAUCUUUCCAAGCCCUAAGCAUAUUUAGAAUAGUUGUGUGCCUAACUGAAUGCAUGAUGCCCAAGGAUUUGGAAGGGCAUUAACCCCG
rnacentral:misc_RNA from 1 species